UACGGAGGGGGCUAGCGUUGUUCGGAAUUACUGGGCGUAAAGCGCACGUAGGCGGCUUUGUAAGUUAGAGGUGAAAGCCCGGAGCUCAACUCCGGAACUGCCUUUAAGACUGCAUCGCUCGAACGUCGGAGAGGUAAGUGGAAUUCCGAGUGUAGAGGUGAAAUUCGUAGAUAUUCGGAAGAACACCAGUGGCGAAGGCGACUUACUGGACGACUGUUGACGCUGAGGUGCGAAAGCUAGGGGAGCAAACGGG
rnacentral:rRNA from 1 species